rnacentral:rRNA from 1 species
UACGUAGGGGGCAAGCGUUGUCCGGAAUCAUUGGGCGUAAAGAGCGUGUAGGCGGCCCGGUAAGUCCGCUGUGAAAGUCCAGGGCUCAACCCUGGGAUGCCGGUGGAUACUGUCGGGCUCGAGUCCGGAAGAGGAGUGUGGAAUUCCUGGUGUAGCGGUGAAAUGCGUAGAUAUCAGGAGGAACACCUGUGGCGAAAGCGGCUCACUGGACCAUAACUGACGCUGAUGCACGAAAGCUAGGGGAGCAAACAGG